GAACGCUGGCGGUAGGCCUAACACAUGCAAGUCGAACGGCAGCACAGUAAGAGCUUGCUCUUACGGGUGGCGAGUGGCGGACGGGUGAGGAAUACAUCGGAAUCUACUUUUUCGUGGGGGAUAACGUAGGGAAACUUACGCUAAUACCGCAUACGACCUACGGGUGAAAGCAGGGGAUCUUCGGACCUUGCGCGAUUGAAUGAGCCGAUGUCGGAUUAGCUAGUUGGCGGGGUAAAGGCCCACCAAGGCGACGAUCCGUAGCUGGUCUGAGAGGAUGAUCAGCCACACUGGAACUGAGACACGGUCCAGACUCCUACGGGAGGCAGCAGUGGGGAAUAUUGGACAAUGGGCGCAAGCCUGAUCCAGCCAUACCGCGUGGGUGAAGAAGGCCUUCGGGUUGUAAAGCCCUUUUGUUGGGAAAGAAAAGCAGCAGGUUAAUACCCCGCUGUUCUGACGGUACCCAAAGAAUAAGCACCAGCUAACUUCGUG
rnacentral:rRNA from 1 species